AUAAAACAUAAAAAAUAAUUUACUCUAACUUUUAAGAAAACCUAAUCUGCUGAUUUCUCUCAAGGCUUAUCUCCCUCACUCCUCAAAAAAGUAUAAACCCUAAAUCUCCUAAAACUCCAUAAGCGAAGAUUUGGGGAGAAUAUCAAACUAAAAAUUUACUACUUAUCUAUCACAAGUACAUGUCCUAAAACUCGAUAUAUGAAAAUAUCCAGUUGAAAAUGAAUGAAGUGGAGGCCUAUUGUUAUUGAAGUGGAGGCCUAUUGUUGAUUUACUGCUUUCAUUAUAAUGUAAUAACCGUACUGAUGGACUGUUAAUUAUAAGUUUGUGCAUUUGAACCGUUAAGUGUGUGUUAGAUAUUUAGAAAUGCAUAUGAGUUUAGUUGAGUAUUCGUUGUAAUAAUUC